ACGUCUUAGAUCGUGAAAACAGUGCGAAAUAGCGUUUUUAGAGCGAUUGGCGACGUGGAGAAUACGAAUAAAAUGGCGGUUUCCCGUAAGCGAUACAAUUACGCCGGAUGCAUGCGAGCGUGAGAAAGCACGGUUAUAAGAUGGACCGUUCCUCUUGUCACCUCAUCCUCUAUUCCCUGCCUUCCACCAACCAACCAAGCGAUAUGCCUCGUCGUUUCGAGUCCAUCUUGGACCUCCUGGUCCACAUCCGUCCCCGUACGGGUUUACAGUAAUCGCAGUGGUAGAACUGUUUUUCCAACUGAUACCGGCGACGGGGUGCGACGUCCCCCGCAUGGACGUGGAGACCUUCUAUCUAUCAGUGCUUCACGUUCAGUGAGGACGUCGAAAUUCAGGACGCAACGGUGGCUGUGGUUAUAUUCAUGGGGUAUUACGUGACUGAGUGGACGUAGAUUGCUAUGCAUCGGGGACUGGACGGAGAGCUAUUUUUAGACUCCCCCGAGACUUAGAGGCGGAGCUCUAUUUUGAAGGUACUCUUCCCCAAAGUUUUGGGGCCGCAGGGCACCUCCUCUGGUCCCUCACCACUCAGUGGAACCAAGUGAGCUGUGCGGGAUGGAGAGACUUCCUCGAACGGUGGAUGCGCACACAAAUCCUGCACGACCCAUGGACCCUCGAAGAACAUGAGGGGGAGGAAGGAGGAGGAGGAGACGUCGACCUGGUCGACUUGUCGCGAAGUCAAGGCACGACAAUAAAGGAGACAAAGGCAACAACCACUUUACUGUGUGGGUGCCGGAUCUCAACUAACGAAUAAUCGCAUGAACAGUCAGCACGAGCAGGGCAGAGACUGGGCUCGUUGUUGUCAGCAGGUGCCGCCACAAGGGCCCCCCGCCUAGACCGGAGGUUGACGAAGGCAAGGCCGGAAGACGUGGUGGAAGUCGGGAAGGCCGCGCACGGCUGGGUCGUCACCGCAGACUUCCGGAUGGGUACGAAGCGGGAAAGGUGUGAAUUUGCGGGGAGUCUGGAGCCCAAUGGACGCACCGCGGAGCUGGGAGGGCAGCUUGCGGGGGUUAAGGGCGAGGGGACAGGAGCCGAGGAGUCGGUGCUGGAGAAGUGUCCAGGAAUGCCGGCUUGACGCGGUCUAUCGACACGACCUCGAGACGACCCGGAAAUUUGAGGCUGAGGGUCUUGUCUUGCCGAGUGCACCAGGAAGGGGUCGUCGUAAGGAGGCUGGAGUGGACGGCGGAUGGCGUCGUGGCGAAGGAAGACAUGGGUGGCGGUGGAAAGGUCUGGGUGCACGAAUAUCGGACGAGAAGAUGAAUGGCGUGGGACUGGCGAGCGAAACUCAGCCACAUGUUCUUCGAGGCGUGUGGCGAAGUGAAGAGGGUCGGGUGCGGGCUGGGCUAGAGUCGCUGCGUCGAAGAACUGCCCUGGGAGACGCAAGGCAGACCCGAAGACCAGGGUGGAUGGUGCAACGCCACAGUCUACCGUGGAGGUUGCGCGAAUGCCAAGGAGCGUUAAAGGCAAGCGCUCGACCCAAUGGCAGUGAUGGAACUGCUGCGCCAUUUGCGCCAAAGUGCGCCAUUUGGGAUUGCCUGCGCCACCCUGCGCCGAAAAAGCAAUUUUCCCUAAUUCUGCGCCACAGCUGUGCCGAACAAAGAUGCCCCGGUUCGGAUGCAUGAAAACGAAACAAAAACCGCGAGCGAUGCUCCUGCGCCCUGUCUAUUCUCGUGAUGCCUCUGGACAGCAAAGCCGAGUCAAGCCGUGUCGUUUCGGCCGAGCCCGCCAAGUCGACGAAGAUUCUUAAACUGCCGGGAUGUCACUGCUGAACCGAAUAUUACGUUGUUGUACUUCAAAGAGAAUGGCUGUACAAAUUUACCGAACAUGUGGGCAUGCCACGUGCCUGCGAUGGAAUAUUGGCUCGUUUGCAUGGGAGUUGUUUUUAAACAACCGCGUUUUAACUAAUUGUGGAUGGGAAUAACUGACGACGCUGAUUCCGGAGUUGCCAGCGCCUGUACUAUGGAUCGCUCCACGCUUUCCGCUACUACGUAACAUCGCGCGUGCUCGCAGAGUGUAGGCGCGUAAGGAGAGCGCGAGAAAUUGAGCUUUCAGGACUUAAACCGUACGUGCCGAUAAUUGUUCCCAGAUGUCCUGAACCCCGAUAUUCGCCAUAAAGUGGAGAGUAUGCAUUGCAAACACGACGUAUUGCGGUGGGACGCAGUGGGAUACAUAUGGCGGAGGUGCGCCAUUCUGUGAAAUUCUGCGCCAAAUGCAGCUUUUUUGUGCGCCAGCGCCAGCGCCCGUGGGCUCUGAGGCAGUUCCAUCACUGCAAUGGGUCGGGUCUUCAGCGGCACGUAAAGCGGUCUUGAGCGUGCGAUGGAACCGCUGGACCAGUCCGUUGGCGCUUCGACUAAAUGUAUAUGUACAGAUUAAAUGUAUAUGUACAUACUGAAUAAAAAUUUUCCCUGUC